UUCUCUUCUAGACACAGUGAAAUUUCAAGAAAAGGCCAAAGGAACAUAUGAGUGAAAUUUCAAGAAAAGUUAAAGGACCAUAAUUAAAGAGUUCACCUUCUGUUUGGUGGAAACAGAGGAUUUUUGAGAUUCAUGGCUUAGUUGUCACAUAUAUCAUCAAGGACAAUCACAUUUUUUAUUACCAGCCUUUGACAGUUGAAAACUUUCAGCUUAGAUGGAGUUCAUCAGCCCUCAUCUUUAAGGUUCUAUGCGAUCCUCCUAUUAUUGUUCUUGAUUUUGUUUUUUGGGUCUCAAAUGUUUUUUGGGUCUCAAAUGCUUCAUCACAUCACAUGUUAGCAAAACAAGUAGUAUCUUAAGGUAAUGAUUCGAUCACAAUUUGCACUCUUAUCACUGAUCUACCAUAUGUACUUUUUUUUGCAGGAGAAUGUCCCUUUAACAAGAAACCUCAAAUCC
rnacentral:lncRNA from 1 species